rnacentral:lncRNA from 1 species
GACAUCCUUCUGAAUAAUAACCAUCAGUUUUUCUCCUACCUGGACUUAAAUAUAGAUAUCAAUCUUGACAUGUGCACUGUGUCAGAAAUCUGCUUUGGCUACAAGCACCUCUGCCCUACAUCUCUUUGCAGGCUCAACCAAGGAAGCUAUUCUGCCACUGCUGCAGCAUUGAAUUCUGCCGUUACAAAGACAACAAUACAAGUCAUUUAAGAUCCUCACCCUAUUUCCAGGCUGGAGCCUAUGAAGUGAAGAAAAGAGAAUUAUUCUCCAAAUUAGGCUGCCAAGGCACUUUAGCAUGUUUAAGAUGCCCUUUACAGGUUAAAAUUUCUUUCCCUUUCUUGUCACUAGGCAAGACAAUCAGUUUUGUCUCAUUCAUGAACAUGAACUACAACAGCUUCCAAAAGAGGACAAGUAAUAAGGAAAGCAGCUUAUAAGUGGAUACAUUUGCUUAAGUUUAAAGGCUCUAGUCAUAGAGAUUCAAUGGGUACUGUGAAAUACUUAGUGAAUAGACUUGCCUUGCUUUUGCCGUCAUGCUGAACUUACUUUGAUGUAAUCCCAUAUAAAGCAGCAGAGUCACCUUCUGAUUAUGCAGUGUAGGGAACGGCGAUCGGAAGAUCUCGCGAUGGCACGGAAAGAGGAAGGAAGAAGAAGGAUAUGACGUAGAGAUAGCAGUAUGCUUGUAGGUAUAUAAGCAAAUACAUGCGUACAAUAAACGCCAUUUGCAGCAUCCUCA